ACGAGUUAGGGUCUUCUAGGCCCGACCUCCCAACCCAUUGUUUACUAAACCAUUUGUUGCUUCGGCGAGCCCGUCUUUACAGACCGCCGGGGGACCGUAAUAGGUCCCCUGGCCUGUGUUCGCCGAUAGCCCCAACCUCAAAAACUCUUUAAUUAAACGUGUCUUGACUAAGUAUUUGUAACCAAAAUUAAAAGCA
rnacentral:misc_RNA from 1 species